AUGCCUUGUGAUAAAACUACAUUAAUUUCAUCGUAAUUACCAUAAGAAAAUAAUCAAAAAGGAAUUACGAUAUAAU
rnacentral:sRNA from 12 species